rnacentral:rRNA from 1 species
UACGAAGGGGGCUAGCGUUGCUCGGAAUUACUGGGCGUAAAGCGCACGUAGGCGGCUUUUUAAGUCGGGGGUGAAAUCCUGGGGCUCAACCUCAGAAUUGCCUCCGAUACUGGCAGUCUCGAGUGCGGGAGAGGUGAGUGGAAUUCCCAGUGUAGAGGUGAAAUUCGUAGAUAUUGGGAAGAACACCAGUGGCGAAGGCGGCUCACUGGCCCGUAACUGACGCUGAGGUGCGAAAGCGUGGGGAGCGAACAGG